AGUGAACGCUGGCGGUAGGCCUAACACAUGCAAGUCGAACGGCAGCACAGUAAGCGCUUGCUCUUACGGGUGGCGAGUGGCGGACGGGUGAGGAAUACAUCGGCAUCUACUUUUUCGUGGGGGAUAUCGUAGGAAAACUUACGCUAAUACCGAAUACGACCUACGGGUGAAAGCAGGGGAUCUUCGCACUUUGCGCGAUUGAUUGAGCCGAUGUCGGAUUAGCUAGUUGGCGGGGUAAAGGCCCACCAAGGCGACGAUGCGUAGCUGGUCUGAGAGGAUGAUCAGCCACACUGGAACUGAGACACGGUCCAGACUCCUACGGGAGGCAGCAGUGGGGAAUAUUGGACAAUGGGCGCAAGCCUGAUCCAGCCAUGCCGCGUGAGUGAAGAAGGCCUUCGGGUCGUAAAGCCCUUUUGUUGGGAAAGAAAAGCAGUGUGUUAAAACCCCGAUGUUCUGACGGUACCCAAAGAAUAAGCACCGGCUAACUUCGUG
rnacentral:rRNA from 1 species